GUGAACCUCGUUUUUCACAGCCGGUUACUCGGCUAUCCCGUAUCCCCUUCUGCCUCCUCCACUCAGGAUGUGAGAUGGCGGUGGCCACGCCAUCUCAGACCCCUCCCCCUUUACCUUCCCUGUGCCUUCGCUACCCGAACUCCCCUCCUAUUCAUCUGAACACCCUGUUGCAUUGCCUACUAAUGACUCUGCUAAUCUGUACUCCUUGUGAGAUGAUAUGCUGCUUCAGCUUUCACCCGUGAGCUCUACCCCGGCUGCCCAGGGUCCUGAUGCUCCUGCUCUGGACUACAACUUCCAGCAUGCCUUAGGGCACGCCCCUCCUGGGGAACCAGAACCACGCCCACCGCUAUCCUGGAAGCACUGAUCCCCAGAAUGGUGGAAUUCACGGCGGCCACGCGAGCAGAGGUAUCGGAGGACAAAAACAACAUUGUGCUUGCACCCCCUCCUCCUCGGAUGAAGACCUCACUUCUCCUGGAUCCAGUGAUUCUCUUGAUCCAUGGCAGAAGACCCGGCUGACCACGCCACGGGGGGUGUCGGCUGGAGAAAGGACCCUGAAGGUCAAACUGAAAAAGUGAAUAAGGGAAAUCUUUGGUACUGUCCUGAGUACGGUGCUCCCAAGCUCUGCUUAUGUGUACAAAGCUGUACUUUUUCUUCUAUGCCGCAUCUGGGAGCAGUGAUAGCAUGAGUGCUGACCUGUUGCUUCUCCCCACCUGAGCUUAUCAUUUUUAAUAAAGGCAUUAAAAAGGAGAAA